rnacentral:lncRNA from 1 species
GAAAGUUUAUUUUAAAAUGCCUUAGAACAGGAACGAAAUGAAGGUGUGCAUGGAAAAGACCCACGCAGGCACAUGAAGGUUAAAGAGAGAAGAGAUGGAUCUCAAAAAAGAAAUCAAAACUGGCUCAGAUUUCCCAAGGAUUUCCAUAUCUAUAUACUAGAAGAUAAUUCAGACUUAUGCAUCUGAGAAGGGAAUUUCCAGAACCAAAUGUGGAGCUGGGAAAAGGCCAUAAUCUGAAGGGGAAAUGAAGCCUGAGUCUUGCAUGACAUGUCCUCCAGAAAAUAGUGAUCAUCUGGACCAUGAAGUUGAGAGGGAUGACCAGAGGCAGCCUGCUACAUCAGGAG